AAUCAGGCUUAGCGGGGAGGACGUGGACCAGCGACGGGUGACGCGCUGCGUUGACGUGGUGCUCUGCUUGGCUGUGUGUCGGUGUGACCCGCACCCCUGCAGAGGGGUGGCGCGGGCCCGCCGUUGAAGCGAGGGAACC
rnacentral:SRP_RNA from 1 species